ensembl:lncRNA
AUUAGGUUGGUGAGCGUGUUUAGCCUUGUAGCUCAUUGCACCCACCCUAGUUAUCUUCUGUGACUAUAUUAGCCGAAUGCAUCAGCAGGUAGCUAUAGCACAGAUGAGAGAAUGGGAGUGGACAGUCUAUGAACAGGAGCAAGAUUGAAGAGUCGCUAACUGCAGCAUUGAUAGGACAUGAGGAAGGCCAUAGGUUUUAAAUCAGAAGAUAACAGGCGAAAGCUAAUGACACUAGAAGUGAGAUUAACUGAGAUUAAUUUCUCCAACUUCCGUUUUGAGCAGAAUUAGAAUGCCUGAAGAAAUAGUAAAGAUGAAAAAAAGUGAAGUUGAGAUACGUUACUGGCAAGGACUGAUGGCUUAAGAAGAGAUGUCACUGAUUCUCACAAGCAAACAAAGGACAAAUGCUGACAGCUACCUUCACUUCAAUUGUUAACAAGCAAUUUCCAUCAGCUUUAGUGUGAAAUGGAUCAGCCAAUAUGAAUGCAUAUUGUGAAUGACUCACCCUGUAUCAACUGUCUAUACAUGAGUAAAGCCACAUGUCCCCACACUGCUGAUAGUCUUUAUUAUGGGCUUUCUUUAAGGUAAGAGAUUAGGAGCUUAAACUAUGACCAGAAACUUUUACAUUAGUUUUUACACUUCUCCCUUCUUCAAAGUACAAUACAGAAAUGCAGCUUUGGGACUUUAGACUUGAAUAGCUGCAAAAUCUUAUAAAAGGGAAUAUUACCUCAAUCUGUCACAUGGAUUUGCUAUAUGCUGAAGAAGAAGGUUACAGACAUUAAAAAAAAUCUAUAUAAAUUUGCAUGUUGGAACAUUUGCUCUCCCUUCUACCCAAGACUUCAUGAAAGUUGGUUCCUUGGGCAUAUUCCUCAAAUUCAUUUCAUCAGAUUUUGUGGCAGUUUUCACUUCACGGUUUCCCUGGUAAUAUAGAAGAAUGGGACAGCCUAAAUUACUUUAAUUUUUCAAAUGUGAUGUUAAUAAAAUUGCCCACUAUUGAUUG